AGCAAUCUUGCUAAAUGUGUAAAUCAUUUACUGUAAUAUGUUAGGAUUGCUGUGGUAACUUAUCUGUAUUGGAUCCCCUUUCUGGACUAUUUUUAUUCAUAAGACGCACUGGAUUAUAAGACGCAUUAAGUGACAGUAGUAAGAAUGCAUACGUGAAGAAAACAAGGGUCUCGCCUUGUUUCUCUUCUAAUUCAGCAGGUUUUGCUGCUGGGGAAGCACCUAAGUGUACAAAAUUGCACUUCUUAACAAAAAACUUUUCUUUCUAAUUGAAUCGAGCACUGGAUGUUAAUCUACACAGAUUUAUCUCCUGAAAUCUGUUUAUUUGGGACACUUCCCACAUGACACACCCCACAGGACGCUGCCCACAGGAUGCUGCUGACUGACGAUUUCUUGCUGCAGUGACAACUCACAAUGGGACAGGAACACUUCCAUCACCUCAGUCCAUCCCAAGGGCAGCUGUGGUCUAAAGGUAAAAGAAGCAAGAUUGGGACCAGAAGGUUGCUGGUUUAAGCCCCAGGACCAGGAUUCAUUUAGAGCUGAGGGAAUCUUGGCUUACAACAUUAGCGCCCCACCCUCUGUGAAAAGUUUAUAGUACAUUUUUACUGUGGGGAAAGCUUACUUAUAUUAAUUUCACUGUAAAUGAACAGUAAAAUAAAAAUACUGGCAGCAGAAACACUUAAAAGGUACUGCAUAUAGCCAUGCUUUGCAGUAAAGAAAACGACAACUUGCACCUUCAACUUCUACCCAAACAAAAUGUGUGUGUACUGUUGUUUCAAAUGUAUUAUAUAAAUUGUAUAUGUUGCAUUCUACAAUUUACAGUCUAAAAUUAGGUAAAAUUUAGGAAGCUUCUCCCUGUGGUAAAUUUAUGGGGUUUGCUUGGUGUUUAGUCUCUCAACAAAGCAGUACAUUCCUUGGAAACUUCUUAAAUUUAACCACCUGUUAGAUUUGAUAGCUCAAAUGUUACUGUUUUAUAUACAGGUGGAAACUGAUUUAAUAGGGCAUUUCAAGAUGCAUUGAGUUCUACAGUUUUACAACAGAACGUCAUUAAACAGUUAUUUAAUGUAUGACUUUAUUGUAAAAAAAAAAAAAAA